rnacentral:piRNA from 1 species
UAGGAUUUUGACUGACAAAAUCUUUGACGUG